GGGUUGUGAGGUUAAGCGACUAAGCGUACACGGUGGAUGCCCUGGCAGUCAGAGGCGAUGAAGGGCGUGCUAAUCUGCGAUAAGCGCCGGUAAGGUGAUAUGAACCGUUAUAACCGGCGAUACCCGAAUGGGGAAACCCAGUGUGACUCGUCACACUAUCAUUAACUGAAUCCAUAGGUUAAUGAGGCGAACCGGGGGAACUGAAACAUCUAAGUACCCCGAGGAAAAGAAAUCAACCGAGAUUCCCCCAGUAGCGGCGAGCGAACGGGGAGGAGCCCAGAGCCUGAAUCAGCAUGUGUGUUAGUGGAAGCGUCUGGAAAGGCGCGCGAUACAGGGUGACAGCCCCGUACACAAAAGCGCAUGUGCUGUGAGCUCGAUGAGUAGGGCGGGACACGUGGUAUCCUGUCUGAAUAUGGGGGGACCAUCCUCCAAGGCUAAAUACUCCUGACUGACCGAUAGUGAACCAGUACCGUGAGGGAAAGGCGAAAAGAACCCCGGCGAGGGGAGUGAAAAAGAACCUGAAACCGUGUACGUACAAGCAGUGGGAGCACCCUUUGGGGUGUGACUGCGUACCUUUUGUAUAAUGGGUCAGCGACUUAUAUUCUGUAGCAAGGUUAACCGUAUAGGGGAGCCGUAGGGAAACCGAGUCUUAAC
rnacentral:rRNA from 1 species